rnacentral:rRNA from 1 species
CCGCCAGAGAACUACAAGUGAAAAACUUAAAACUCAAAGGACUUGGCGGUGCCCCAAAUCAACCUAGAGGAGCCUGUCCUAUAAUCGAUACCCCCCGCUCUACCCAACCUCCACUAGCACCAGCCAGCCUAUAUACCGCCGUCGACAGUCUACCCCAUGAGGGCCUAAUAGUAGACAUAAUAACUUAUCGCUAACACGUCAGGUCAAGGUGUAGCAAAUGUGAAGGAAGAGAUUGGCUACAUUUUUUAUCUUAAAAACACGAAAUGUGAUAUGAAACCCCACAUGAAGGUGAAUUUAGCAGUAAAGC